GCCUACAGAUCCAGAUGUAGAACUCUCAGCCCCUUCUCCAGCACCAUGUCUGCCUGCACACUGCCAUAUCCUGCCAUGAUGAUAGUGGACUAAACCUCUGAAACUUGGCAAAAGAUCGCUCGCAUCAUCAUUUGCAAGUUAUCUAAAAUGUCAAAGGUGUCCUUUUGAAGUUUAUUACAGAUCACAUGCCAUAAGGCCCGGACGCUAGGGGUUUGAUAUUGCAAAGACAUUUUCCUGAGGAGAAGUGAGCAAACAUACCAGCCUAUUUACCCAUCCUGCAAUGGCACUGGAGCCCAGGUUAUGGCCUCUCACCGCCCCCCCAUCUUUCACCCAGAACUUGCCAACCUGCAGGAGGUUCCUUGGAACCAAAGCAAAGGGCGACUAUGGUGCCUACGGCUCUGAGAUGGGAGACAGUCCUGUCUAUUGGUUCACACAAAAGAGCCAAGUUCAACUCUAGCACGUUCUAGCUACGCGACCCUGGACAGGUCACUUACUAGUGAGAACAUGCUCUGCCGGCAUGGGGCCUCUACUCUCACAACUACAGAAAGUGAUGGAGGGAAUCCUGAGGAAGGUGCUCAGCACAGCACCGUGGACCCGGGAUCCUCUCACACCCCGGAUGCUCCUGCUUUCUCAUCUGGAACACGGGCAGAUGAUAAUGACAGCCUCGAUGACCAGCAAGGCACUGAAAAGUCCACCCCAGGUGCCGCGUCUACCGCCAGAUAGUCCCCUAAGCCUGCUAAGCCAGACGCCACAGCAUUGAAAGUGCUCCAUGAUGCCAGAGAAUAGUGGUGUGUUACUGCCUCACGCCUCACCCCGUACUACUCCAAAGCACUUGGAGUCACAUGACAGCUCUGGAUUUUCUCUCCUGCCCUGGGUGUGGCCGGUGGGCAGUGCAGGGGUCCUGAGAGGAGCGGAAGAUUUCCCAGGGCCUGUCAGCGUCCCCACCUUUCUGGAGCCUGAACAUCACUGCUGUGGCACAGUGUGUAGCCAUCAGCGGUCCUGCACAGAAGUGCGGUGGGUCCUGGGCUUCUGAGAGGAGCUUUGAAGCAGGCUCUGGGGCAGGAUGCUGGACUACCCUGCGCACUUUUGACUGUCAGAACAUGAUACAGGAAACAUCAGUGGGUAAAAACAAAGGUCAGCCAGCAUUUCCUGGAAAGCCCAAAUAAUAAAUAUUUGGGGCUUGGUGGGUCAUGUCAGUCUCUACGUCAACAUUCAAGGGCUCCACUAUGGUCUCCAAAGCAGCCAUAGACAACACAUAAAUGAAUGGAUGGGAUUGUUUCAAUAAAACUUUGUUUGAAAGCAGGUAGCAAUUUGACCCCCCUGGUGGUAGUCUGGCAGCCCUUGAUACAACAAAACAAGCCUAAAUCUACAGGAAAAAGCUGGGUCUAGUCUCAAUCUGCAAGUCUACUCCCUUUAGGCCUCAGUUUCCCCCACAGUAGAAUCAGAGCAUUGUACUAGACCAUUAUCUCAAUCCAAAAUUCCCAUAAGAAUAGGCAAGAGGUCAAGGUGUGAGACAUCAUCUUUGGAGGGCCUUGGACAGACUGGGGCUCCCCUUGCUCACCACGUGCAGCCAGACCUCAUUCCUGGUGGAUGCUUGCCACAUCACAGGGAAAAGUGACCCAAGGUGGCCUGGCUCUGUGGAAAACCCAGACAGGCUGAGUCCUAUGGGAAGUGCUGGCACUUUUAAAGCCUUUCUUGAAAUAGAACACACUUGCAAAAAAAAUAAAUAAAUAAAGUGCACACAUCUUAAUGAUCCAGCUCAGGGAAUUUUCUCCUCUGAACACACCCCUGUAACUGACACCCAAAUCAAAGCCGCCCUGUUCUAGUAACCAACCCCAAGGGAACCA